rnacentral:rRNA from 1 species
UUAAGCGACUAAGCGUACACGGUGGAUGCCCUGGCAGUCAGAGGCGAUGAAGGGCGUGCUAAUCUGCGAUAAGCGCCGGUAAGGUGAUAUGAACCGUUAUAACCGGCGAUACCCGAAUGGGGAAACCCAGUGUGACUCGUCACACUAUCAUUAACUGAAUCCAUAGGUUAAUGAGGCGAACCGGGGGAACUGAAACAUCUAAGUACCCCGAGGAAAAGAAAUCAACCGAGAUUCCCCCAGUAGCGGCGAGCGAACGGGGAGGAGCCCAGAGCCUGAAUCAGCAUGUGUGUUAGUGGAAGCGUCUGGAAAGGCGCGCGAUACAGGGUGACAGCCCCGUACACAAAAGCGCAUGUGCUGUGAGCUCGAUGAGUAGGGCGGGACACGUGGUAUCCUGUCUGAAUAUGGGGGGACCAUCCUCCAAGGCUAAAUACUCCUGACUGACCGAUAGUGAACCAGUACCGUGAGGGAAAGGCGAAAAGAACCCCGGCGAGGGGAGUGAAAAAGAACCUGAAACCGUGUACGUACAAGCAGUGGGAGCCCCACCACCAAAGCAUUCUCUGGUGUUGAAGGCCCUGCAAAGCAGCAUCGCGGUGGCGGAGCGUCGUUUGCGACGCCCAACACACAAAACAAGCGGUGAGUGCUUUGGGGUGGGGUGACUGCGUACCUUUUGUAUAAUGGGUCAGCGACUUAUAUUCUGUAGCAAGGUUAACCGAAUAGGGGAGCCGUAGGGAAACCGAGUCUUAACCGGGCGUUAAGUUGCAGGGUAUAGACCCGAAACCCGGUGAUCUAGCCAUGGGCAGGUUGAAGGUUGGGUAACACUAACUGGAGGACCGAACCGACUAAUGUUGAAAAAUUAGCGGAUGACCUGUGGCUGGGGGUGAAAGGCCAAUCAAACCGGGAGAUAGCUGGUUCUCCCCGAAAGCUAUUUAGGUAGCGCCUCGUGAAUUCAUCUCCGGGGGUAGAGCACUGUUUCGGCUAGGGGGCCAUCCCGGCUUACCAACCCGAUGCAAACUGCGAAUACCGGAGAAUGUUAUCACGGGAGACACACGGCGGGUGCUAACGUCCGUCGUGAAGAGGGAAACAACCCAGACCGCCAGCUAAGGUCCCAAAGUCAUGGUUAAGUGGGAAACGAUGUGGGAAGGCCCAGACAGCCAGGAUGUUGGCUUAGAAGCAGCCAUCAUUUAAAGAAAGCGUAAUAGCUCACUGGUCGAGUCGGCCUGCGCGGAAGAUGUAACGGGGCUAAACCAUGCACCGAAGCUGCGGCAGCGAACGUAUCACCCAAGACAACUUUACGGAGUUGACGAUUGACGGAGCGAAGCGACGUCAAAGCGUUCAUUAAAGUCGAGUUGGCUUAGGGAUACGUUCGUUGGGUAGGGGAGCGUUCUGUAAGCCUGUGAAGGUGGCCUGUGAGGGUUGCUGGAGGUAUCAGAAGUGCGAAUGCUGACAUAAGUAACGAUAAAGCGGGUGAAAAGCCCGCUCGCCGGAAGACCAAGGGUUCCUGUCCAACGUUAAUCGGGGCAGGGUGAGUCGACCCCUAAGGCGAGGCCGAAAGGCGUAGUCGAUGGGAAACGGGUUAAUAUUCCCGUACUUGGUGUUACUGCGAAGGGGGGACGGAGAAGGCUAUGUUGGCCGGGCGACGGUUGUCCCGGUUUAAGCGUGUAGGUGUGUGUUCCAGGUAAAUCCGGUUCACUUUAACACUGAGGCGUGAUGACGAGGCACUACGGUGCUGAAGCAACAAAUGCCCUGCUUCCAGGAAAAGCCUCUAAGCAUCAGGUAACAUCAAAUCGUACCCCAAACCGACACAGGUGGUCAGGUAGAGAAUACCAAGGCGCUUGAGAGAACUCGGGUGAAGGAACUAGGCAAAAUGGUGCCGUAACUUCGGGAGAAGGCACGCUGACACGUAGGUGAAGUGAUUUACUCACGGAGCUGAAGUCAGUCGAAGAUACCAGCUGGCUGCAACUGUUUAUUAAAAACACAGCACUGUGCAAACACGAAAGUGGACGUAUACGGUGUGACGCCUGCCCGGUGCCGGAAGGUUAAUUGAUGGGGUCAGCGCAAGCGAAGCUCCUGAUCGAAGCCCCGGUAAACGGCGGCCGUAACUAUAACGGUCCUAAGGUAGCGAAAUUCCUUGUCGGGUAAGUUCCGACCUGCACGAAUGGCGUAAUGAUGGCCAGGCUGUCUCCACCCGAGACUCAGUGAAAUUGAACUCGCUGUGAAGAUGCAGUGUACCCGCGGCAAGACGGAAAGACCCCGUGAACCUUUACUAUAGCUUGACACUGAACAUUGAGCCUUGAUGUGUAGGAUAGGUGGGAGGCUUUGAAGCGUGGACGCCAGUCUGCGUGGAGCCGACCUUGAAAUACCACCCUUUAAUGUUUGAUGUUCUAACGUGGACCCGUGAUCCGGGUUGCGGACAGUGUCUGGUGGGUAGUUUGACUGGGGCGGUCUCCUCCUAAAGAGUAACGGAGGAGCACGAAGGUUGGCUAAUCCUGGUCGGACAUCAGGAGGUUAGUGCAAUGGCAUAAGCCAGCUUGACUGCGAGCGUGACGGCGCGAGCAGGUGCGAAAGCAGGUCAUAGUGAUCCGGUGGUUCUGAAUGGAAGGGCCAUCGCUCAACGGAUAAAAGGUACUCCGGGGAUAACAGGCUGAUACCGCCCAAGAGUUCAUAUCGACGGCGGUGUUUGGCACCUCGAUGUCGGCUCAUCACAUCCUGGGGCUGAAGUAGGUCCCAAGGGUAUGGCUGUUCGCCAUUUAAAGUGGUACGCGAGCUGGGUUUAGAACGUCGUGAGACAGUUCGGUCCCUAUCUGCCGUGGGCGCUGGAGAACUGAGGGGGGCUGCUCCUAGUACGAGAGGACCGGAGUGGACGCAUCACUGGUGUUCGGGUUGUCAUGCCAAUGGCACUGCCCGGUAGCUAAAUGCGGAAGAGAUAAGUGCUGAAAGCAUCUAAGCACGAAACUUGCCCCGAGAUGAGUUCUCCCUGAGACUUAGAGUCUCCUGAAGGAACGUUGAAGACGACGACGUUGAUAGGCCGGGUGUGUAAGCGCAGCGAUGCGUUGAGCUAACCGGUACUAAUGAACCGUGAGGCUUAACCUU